UACGUAGGUGACAAGCGUUGUCCGGAUUUACUGGGCGUAAAGAGCGCGCAGGUGGUCGUUCAAGUCGAGUGUGAAAGCCCCCGGCUCAACUGGGGAGGGUCACUCGAUACUGAUCGACUCGAAGGCAGGAGAGGGAAGUGGAAUUCCCGGUGUAGUGGUGAAAUGCGUAGAUAUCGGGAGGAACACCAGUGGCGAAGGCGACUUCCUGGCCUGUUCUUGACGCUGAGGCGCGAAAGCUAGGGGAGCAAACGGG
rnacentral:rRNA from 1 species